rnacentral:tRNA from 2 species
GGCCCCUUAGCUCAGUGGUUAGAGCAGUCGACUCAUAAUCGAUUGGUCAACAGUUCAAAUCUGUUACGGGCCACCA